rnacentral:rRNA from 1 species
AUUGAACGCUGGCGGCAGGCCUAACACAUGCAAGUCGAGCGGAUGAAGGGAGCUUGCUCCUGGAUUCAGCGGCGGACGGGUGAGUAAUGCCUAGGAAUCUGCCUGGUAGUGGGGGAUAACGUCCGGAAACGGGCGCUAAUACCGCAUACGUCCUGAGGGUGAACGUGGGGGAUCUUCGGACCUCACGCUAUCAGAUGAGCCUAGGUCGGAUUAGCUAGUUGGUGGGGUAAAGGCCUACCAAGGCGACGAUCCGUAACUGGUCUGAGAGGAUGAUCAGUCACACUGGAACUGAGACACGGUCCAGACUCCUACGGGAGGCAGCAGUGGGGAAUAUUGGACAAAGGGCGAAAGCCUGAUCCAGCCAUGCCGCGUGUGUGAAGAAGGUCUUCGGAUUGUAAAGCACUUUAAGUUGGGAGGAAGGGCAGUAAGUUAAUACCUUGCUGUUUUGACGUUACCAACAGAAUAAGCACCGGCUAACUUCGUG